rnacentral:rRNA from 1 species
UGGGGAAUAUUGGACAAUGGGCGAAAGCCUGAUCCAGCCAUGCCGCGUGUGUGAAGAAGGUCUUCGGAUUGUAAAGCACUUUAAGUUGGGAGGAAGGGCAUUAACCUAAUACGUUAGUGUUUUGACGUUACCGACAGAAUAAGCACCGGCUAACUCUGUGCCAGCAGCCGCGGUAAUACAGAGGGUGCAAGCGUUAAUCGGAAUUACUGGGCGUAAAGCGCGCGUAGGUGGUUUGUUAAGUUGGAUGUGAAAUCCCCGGGCUCAACCUGGGAACUGCAUUCAAAACUGACUGACUAGAGUAUGGUAGAGGGCGGUGGAAUUUCCUGUGUAGCGGUGAAAUGCGUAGAUAUAGGAAGGAACACCAGUGGCGAAGGCGACCACCUGGACUAAUACUGACACUGAGGUGCGAAAGCGUGGGGAGCAAACA